rnacentral:tRNA from 1 species
GGUAAGAUGGCCGAGGGAAGGCGGUGGCUUGUAGCUCCACCUACAGAGGUUCCAGUCCUCUUCUUAUCA